rnacentral:rRNA from 1 species
AGUGAACGCUGGCGGUAGACCUAACACAUGCAAGUCGAACGGCAGCACAGUAAGAGCCUGCUCUUACGGGUGGCGAGUGGCGGACGGGUGAGGAAUACAUCGGAAUCUACUUUUUCGUGGGGGAUAACGUAGGGAAACUUACGCUAAUACCGCAUACGACCUACGGGUGAAAGCAGGGGAUCUUCGGACCUUGCGCGAUUGAAUGAGCCGAUGUCGGAUUAGCUAGUUGGCGGGGUAAAGGCCCACCAAGGCGACGAUCCGUAGCUGGUCUGAGAGGAUGAUCAGCCACACUGGAACUGAGACACGGUCCAGACUCCUACGGGAGGCAGCAGUGGGGAAUAUUGGACAAUGGGCGCAAGCCUGAUCCAGCCAUACCGCGUGGGUGAAGAAGGCCUUCGGGUUGUAAAGCCCUUUUGUUGGGAAAGAAAAGCAGCAGGUUAAUACCCCGCUGUUCUGACGGUACCCAAAGAAUAAGCACCGGCUAACUUCGUG